CCUAAACACCGACUAGAGUCUGACACGCAAAACAUGAGCUAGACAAUUUUUAGACAUUCUUCAUAUGGCCACACCAAAAUAUAUGUCAAAUGUCAGUACAUGAAUUGUCAUUUGCAUAAAACGUGUUUACUUUUUUGCUGCGAAAUUAUUUUAAACCAUUAAAUAUGAAGACUCCUAUUAAGAGUGAGGCUAGAAAGCUAAUAUUCAAUAUGGUUAAUAAAUUUGAUGUGAAAAAUAAAGACAAUGAAAAGAUUUUCAAUGAAAAAGAACAAUGUUUGGUUACAAUCUUGGAAGCCAUUGGAACCGAAAAUAUAGAUGUUAACAAAAUUGAAGAGUCUGUCAAAAAUCUUAAUAUUAUACAUAAUUCAGAACGGAUUGCGGCAUCCAAGUACAUUUUAUAAUAAAUUUCUUAAAUAAAUUAUAACUAUCUACCUACCUUAAUUGUUUUUAUAUAUUUGUUUGCUUCAUAAUAACAAACGUCUCAAAGUCUGCGUUUAGUUCAAGAUUCCUUGUUACUUUGUAUGUGAAUUUAAGACCAACCGAAAUCAUGCAAUAUCUCACUGUAUCUUGUGUAUCUACUUAUUUAGAAUUUCUUUGAUUGUAUGAUUGAUUUUGUUUACUAAUUAUAUAGGUACAACUCUAUAUUUAUUCAAUUUGCUUUUUUUUUCAGGUGUAAGUCUUGCUACAAUAAAGCGUAUUAAAAAAGAAGGUCAAUUAAACAACAACAUUUGGAGUACGCCUGGGAAAAAGCGACCCCAUCCGAGUACUGUAUCAAAUCUAGACAACUUUGAUAUAUGUGCAAUUAGAAACAAAAUCAAUGAAUUUUAUACUGUAAAAAAACAAGUACCAACUAUAAGAAACUUGCUUGCAGAGUUAAGAGAUGCGAUAGGAUUUACAGGAAGUAGAGAGACUUUAAGAAGGAUUUUGCAUGACAAUGGCUAUGAAUUCAAAAAGAAUUCCAAUGAAAGAUCAUUACUCAUAGAAAGACAUGAGAUUGUCGCUUGGCGGCACAGAUUUUUAAGAAAAAUGUGUAAUGCUAGGCAAGAAAAUAAACAUAUUGUUUACCUUGACGAAACUUAUAUACAUCAAAAUUACAAACCAAAAAAGUCUUGGCAAGGUCCGUCAACAAGUGGUCUUGUUGAUAAAAUAUCAGCCGGUAAGAGACAUAUUAUUGUCCAUGCAGGGUCCAAGGAAGGGUUUGUGCCUAAUGCUCUUUUGAGCUAUAGCACUAAGUCCGUGAUGGCAGAUUAACAUCACGAUAUGAACGCUGUCAAUUUUAAAAAAUGGUUGUGUGAAAAAUUAAUUCCCAAUUUAGAAAAACCGAGCAUUGUUGUGAUGGAUAAUGCAAGUUAUCACACAUGUCAAAUAAAUAAAGCGCCUACCACACAAACCCGAAAAAGUGACAUCCAAAACUGGCUUAGAUCUCAAGGUGUGCCGUUUGAAGAGUAUUUAAGUAAGGAUGAGCUACUUUGUUUAGUAAAAAAACAUAAACCAGAUCCUAUGUAUGAAGUGGAUGAAAUUUUAAAACAGCAUGGACAUGAAGCGUUAAGGUUGCCGCCUUAUCAUUGUGACCUAAACGCCAUAGAAAUGAUAUGGAGUUUGGCAAAGAGAAGGGUUGCAAGUAAAAAUAUCGGUGUCACACCUGGUAAUAUGGAACAAAUUAUAAAAGAUGCUUUUGAAAGUGUAACAGUUGCAGAAUGGAAUAAUUGUAUAGAACACGUCAUAAAAAUCGAAAAUAAUUACAUUGAAAAAGAUAAAAUUCUUGAAACGGAACUGGAAAGUUUUAUUAUAAAUGUAAAAGAUGAUAGUAGUGAUAGUGACGAAUCUCUUGAAGUAGAUUUUUUAGAUUCCGAUUUUGAUUACGAAUCACAAUAAAUAAUGUUAUAAUAA